CUGCGUGAUCGUUGACCUUGAGAACAGAAACGCGCGCGUAUGUUGCGCACAACUUGUGCGCGCUGCAAGCACCUUCGGCGCACGCGACUUGAGUUGAGGUGGCUUAGCCGCUAGCGCCGCUAGUUUGCCCGCACGCGUUGCUCGAGGCGCUUCGCAUCGUUUCUUUUUAUCAUCUGUGUUUUACUAGAAUUAUUUUGACUUCGCGCUUAUCGAGAUUUGUGUUUGUGAAAACUUAUAAUUCGCCACGUCUUGGAAACGGAAUUCGAUCAAUCGUUACAAUCCAACAUCGACGGCAUGUGCAGGCUGCAAACCCCGUGCAAAACCGUAUCAAUUAAUAUUCGCCAUCAUUUCACUGGUGUUUAGCGGCCGAACCUGAAGUCGUAGGACAACGCUUUUUUAACCAAAUUGUGUUUAGCGGCCGAACCUGAUGUCGUAGGACAACGCUUUUUUAACCAAAUUAUAGGUACUAAAAUUCUCUAUCAUUUACGUAUAUAACAUGUGGGUUUAUCCCUUGGGAAACCUACGAAAAUGCCCUUUUUGUGUUUUUGGUUGUCUAAUUUUUGCUGUUUUGGGAGUCUAGCGGCCGAACCUGAUGACGUAGGACAACGUUUUUUCACCAAAUUGUAGGUGUCUAGCGGCCGAACCUGAUGACGUAGGACAACGUUUUUUUCACCAAAUUGUGUCUAGCGGCCGAACCUGAUGUCGUAGGAUAACGUUUUUUUCACCAAAUUGUAGGUACUAAAAUUCUCUAUCAUUUACGUAUAUAACAUGUGGGUUUAUCCCUUGGGAAACCUACGAAAAUGCCCUUUUUGUGUUUUUGUUGUCUAAUUUUUGCUGUUUUAGGUGUCUAGCGGCCGAACCAGGCACCGUAGGACAACGUUUUUUUCAUCAAAUUGUAGGUACUAAAAUUCUCUUUCAUUUACGUAUAUAACAUGUGGGUUUAACCUUUGAGAAACCUACAAAAUUAAAACAAAAGUACGGUAAUUUAA